AGGUUGGCUCAGAAGCAGCCAUCCUUUAAAGAGUGCGUAACAGCUCACUAGUCGAAUGACUCUGCGCCGAUAAUUUACCGGGGCUAAGCAUACUACCGAAGCUAUGGAUCCCAAGGGAUGGUAGGGGAGCGUUCCAUGAACGGAGAAGUACGACCGAAAGGACGUGUGGAGAUCAUGGAAGAGAGAAUGCCGGUGUGAGUAGCGGAACGUGGGUGAGAAUCCCACGCACCGAAAACCCAAGGUUUCCAGAGGAAGGUUCGUCCGCUCUGGGUAAGUCGGGACCUAAGGCGAGGCCGAAAGGCGUAGUCGAUGGACAACAGGUAGAGAUUCCUGUACCCGUAUAUAUGUGAAGGAAUGACGGAGAGAGGAAGCUGCAGCCAGCGGCUGGAAGAGCUGGUGCAAGCGAGAUAUCGGGAUGGCAGGCAAAUCCACCAUCCGAAACGAGAAGGCGUGAAGCGUACGGAAAGCUAAGGCGAGUACGGAAGGCAGUGGAGGAGCUUCCAAGAAAAGUUUCUAACGAAAGUAUAUGUGACCCGUACCGAAAAUGGACACACAUGGGUGAGGAGAGAAUCCUAAGGUGAGCGAGAGAACUAUAGCUAAGGAACUCUGCAAAAUGACUCCGUAACUUAGGGAGAAGGAGUGCUCAUAGAGAUAUGAGCCGCAGUGAAACGGCCCAAGCGACUGUUUACCAAAAACACAGCUCUCUGCUAAGCCGCAAGGCGAAGUAUAGGGGGUGACGCCUGCCCGGUGCUGGAAGGUUAAGGGGAGGGGUUAACGCAAGUGAAGCCCUGAACUGAAGCCCCAGUAAACGGCGGCCGUAACUAUAACGGUCCUAAGGUAGCGAAAUUCCUUGUCAGGUAAGUUCUGACCCGCACGAAAGGCGUAACGAUUUGGGCGCUGUCUCAGCUGUAGACUCGGUGAAGUCUUAGUACCUGUGAAGAUGCAGGUUACCCGCGACUAGACGGAAAGACCCCAUGGAGCUUCACUGCAGGUUGAUAUUGGGAUUUGAUGCAGCAUGUACAGGAUAGGUAGGAGGCAAAGAGAUGGAUACGCCAGUAUUCAAGGAGCCGCUGUUGGGAUACUACCCCUGUUGUAUUGGAUUUCUAACCGGACGACGUAAAGCCGUUGACGGGACAGUGUCAGUCGGGCAGUUUGACUGGGGCGGUCGCCUCCCAAAGAGUAACGGAGGCGCCCAAAGAUACCCUCAGCUUGGAUGGAAACCAAGCGCAGAGUGCAAAGGCAAAAGGGUGUUUGACUGCGAGACCCACAAGUCGAGCAGGGACGAAAGUCGGGCUUAGUGAUCCGGCGGUGCUGAAUGGAAAGGCCGUCGCUCAACGGAUAAAAGCUACCCUGGGGAUAACAGGCUGAUCUCCCCCAAGAGUUCACAUCGACGGGGAGGUUUGGCACCUCGAUGUCGGCUCAUCGCAUCCUGGAGCUGAAGUCGGUUCCAAGGGUUGGGCUGUUCGCCCAUUAAAGCGGUACGCGAGCUGGGUUCAGAACGUCGUGAGACAGUUCGGUCCCUAUCUGUCGUGGGCGCAGGAAAUUUGAGAAGAGCUGUCCUCAGUACGAGAGGACCGGGAUGGACGCAUCAAUGGUGGACCAGUUGUCACGCCAGUGGCAUAGCUGGGUAGCUAAAUGCGGAAGGGAUAAACGCUGAAGGCAUCUAAGUGUGAAACCCACUUCAAGAUGAGAUUUCCCAUUGCGCAAGCAAGUAAGACCCCUUAAAGACGAUAAGGUAGAUAGGUCAGGAGUGUAAGCAUGGUGACAUGUUAAGCGGACUGAUACUAAUAGGUCGAGGGCUUGACCGA
rnacentral:rRNA from 1 species